rnacentral:pre_miRNA from 1 species
AAGUCUAGUUUCAAUUGUGUGCUUAGAUGGUUUCAGUUUUCACUAUAUUCUAGCACCAUUUGAAAUUAGAUUU